rnacentral:rRNA from 1 species
UAUUGGUCAAUGGAGGCAACUCUGAACCAGCCAUGCCGCGUGCAGGAUGACGGUCCUAUGGAUUGUAAACUGCUUUUGUACGGAACGAAAAGGUCUUUUCUAAUAAAGAAGGCUGAUGACGGUACCGUAAGAAUAAGCACCGGCUAACUACGUGCCAGCAGCCGCGGUAAUACGUAGGGUGCGAGCGUUAAUCGGAAUUACUGGGCGUAAAGCGUGCGCAGGCGGUUAUGCAAGACAGAUGUGAAAUCCCCGGGCUCAACCUGGGAACUACAUUAGUGACUGCAUAGCUAGAGUGCGGCAGAGGGGGAUGGAAUUCCGCGUGUAGCAGUGAAAUGCGUAGAUAUGCGGAGGAACACCGAUGGCGAAGGCAAUCCCCUGGGCCUGCACUGACGCUCAUGCACGAAAGCGUGGGGAGCAAACAGG